CUUCCUUACUUUGACCUCCCAUGGCAGAUAUUAUGUCACACCAUUUUGGUGAAACUUCCGGCCACUCUCGCUGCCAGCGGCAGAACGGUAAUACUACCGUUUCAAAGUUUUGAAAUUCAAAGUCACCAAAAUUUCCGCCAAAAAAUGCCCUAAUUCGCACCUAUAAAUAUCAGCGUUUGUGAAGCUUGAGCUCCCUUUUUUAACCUUUGUUUAGCCGCCAUCCCUACCUCUCAAAAUUUCCUUCUUUUAAAUCUCUCAGUUCUGUUGUUUUUUAACCAAACCAGAAGCAUUUUUUAUUUAUUUAUCCCGGCGAUUAACGUUGGUUCGAGGUAGCAAGUCCGAGGCCGGAGUUUGAUAGUGCACCUUAGAUCUCCACCUCAGUUCACUGCCCUAAAGCAGGUUAUCAUUCCGGACGAGAAUUUAAAAUUACAAUACCAAUCAAGGAUAGAGAAAAAGGGGAAAAUCUUAUUGGAGGUUGAAAAUGAACCAAAAAAGCAGAAGACAAAAGGAAUGAUCAAAGAAAAGGUUCGUAAAUUAUAUUGAUACAACUCUAGACAGUCUCCAUUAAAAUAUUGCAUCCGGCAGAGGAAUGUUAAAGUCGAGUUUGACAUGACAAUAUAUGAUACCUGCUUUCCUAGUUGUUUUCUUUGUUCUUUGGCUUGUGCUAAAGCCUAGAAGAGCCAAGCCUAAGAUCAGCUGAGACUUUCUUGGUGUUUUGCCUUCAAAAUACAAGUAACUUAGUUUCCUCAAGUAUGAUUUCCUAUCAGAUGCUGGGAAAUCUAUUGAGCCAAUAGAGCUGUCGUAUGCAACCGGUGACAAGAGAGCAUAGGCAAGACAAAUAGAAUAGCUAUGAUCAAAUUCAUAUGGUGUUGUACUGUUUUUGGUUGUACAUUUUCAGCUCCCAGUAUUAUUUGAUCUGAGUUUUUGCUCUGUACCAUCAAGUCUUAAUUUUCAUGUUUGUUGCUAAUUACUGUAAUUGUGGUCAGUGAAUGCCUCAAUACUGUGUAAAUUCGAACAAUGAUCUUAUUGAUUGAUGAUAAUAGCAAUUUGAACUUUACUGCCCUUA